UUUAUUAUUCUUUAUUAUAUUUUGUAUUAUUUAUUUUUUAAAUUAAGUAUUACGGUUAAUGUUGAUUGGUUAAUUUUCAAUGUAUCUUUAAAAAGAUUGUUUCCUUUCUUUUUUUUUUGUUUUUUGUUUUUUAUUGCUCGAUACGAUCGUCUACCUAUUUUGACCUACUCUUUUAUGGGGGAAACAGAUAUUCUAGAAGACCAAAGUAGUACAAUAUAGUUCUUCGAAAGUAGUAGAGACUUGCAUAUAAAGAGAAUGUAUGUAUGUACUUAUGUGGGUAUAUAUAUAUGUAUAUAUAUAUAUGUGUACGUACAUGUAAAAGUAAGUACAUAAACCUGUUUCGGAAAGUGAGUGAAAGACUUUCUUUAGAUAUUUAUCUAUUGAUCGAUCAAUCGAUCGAUUGAUUUCGAGACUUCAUGAAAACGUGCCGUGACGUAUUAUUCGACAUCCGCGCUUUGCUAUUACGUUUAAUAGAAUAGUCGUCGAUGGUUACGUUAAGAUUCAAGUUUCGAAAGUAAUUCUCUAAUAAUAUUUGUUGCAUCCGAUGGAAAUAGAAAUGAGAACGCGUUGUCUCGAAUUACGAGAACUUUAGUCAUAUAUGCUGAGAAUUCAAUUGGAUCAUCUUUCAUUUUCGGAAACUCGAAAAACUAUAUUUAACACAAAAGAUUAUCGUCGUCUAUCUCUAUCUUUAUCUAUCUUUAUAUCUAUCUAUCUCUGUCUAUCUAUAUAUAUAUAUAUAUAUAUCCAUACAUACGUACAUAUAUACAAAUAUAUAUAUAUAUGUGUAUAUAUAUAUAUAUCUUUAUAACUUGAAUUAUCGAUAAGAUUGUAAAGUGAUUUGCGCGACAGUAGCGACACGUCACGGACAUUUACCGUAAAUAUAAUCGAUUUGAUUUUAGAUAUCGAAAUAUAGAUUGAGAAUGAAUAUAAAGAUACGUAUUAAGAUAGAGAAAGGUAAGAUGGCGUCGUGAAAGAAAGAGUGAUCAUUUCGUUGAAAGUUUCAAAGAUGAUAUUCGCGAGAUAUUUUGAAGCAAGGGAAAAAUUUCAAUGGAUAGGAAAGGAAGAGGAAGAAGAAGAAAGAUGGCAGGAGGAGAGGGAGGAAGAGGAGAAGGAGGAGAGGAAGGAAGGAAGGAAGGAAGGAGGUGCACCAAGCAAGAUAGGAGGAGGCGAUUUUACGCUCGAGCUUUGGCUCCUCCCCCUCCACUCUCGGCAAUGGACUCUCUUCGAUCGAUUUCCGUUCUGCGAGACGGUACCACCAACAUUUCCACGCGUAUACACACGUAUACGUAUAUAUAUAUAUAUAUAUAUAUAUAUAUAUGUAUAUAUAUAUAUAUACAUGCAUAUAGACAUACCAUACGUCGGACCGAGGCUUGUGCUUUGCAGUUUAGCUCGUAGUACAUACAUAUGUAUAUAUCAUGUAUGUACUUACUUCGCUGGAUGCGUACCGUUACAUCCAUCCUACUCUUACAUCAUUGUUCUACAGCGUUUGCCGAUUAAACGGAACUUUAACCUCAAAUGAAAUUAGAUCUUGUUAGAAUUGCAUUUUCGUAGUACUUGAAAUAUAUAAAUAUAUAUAUAUAUAUAUAAAGGAUAUAUUUCAAUUUAUUAACAUUAAAUCAAUAUUAAUCGAUAUUCGACAUAUCGAUUUUCCUCGAGCGUUAUUUUAAAAAUACGUCACUGGAUUACGCAAAAGAGAGAAAGAAAAAUGAAGAAAUAUGUCCGUAUAAGUAUAGACAACUUCCUGAAACUUUAAACACGAAAGAUAAUUCAUGUAAUUUAUUAACAAUAAAUUAAUAUUAAUCGAUAUUUGAUUAAAAAUAAUAUUUCUCGAGCGCCAUUUUGAAAAUAUCUUAGCAAGAUUAUUUCGCGUAAUUAAAAAUUCGAGGUAUAAUACAAUUGAUUUAUUAACAAUGUAAUUAAUAUCAAUCGAUAUUGAAUUAAAUGAUUUUGCCCGGGCACCAUUUUUUAAAAUAUGUCACGAUUGCUCCAAAUAAAAAGAAAGAAAAAGAAAAAAAAAAAAAAAAAAAGAAGAAAAGUCACAAUUAAGUUCUUACUUACGUGAUCGGAGAAAAAAAAAAAGAUCCAUGUAAUAGAACAGAACCGAUCACAAUCUAGAACGAUCAAAAUAGAGAAAUAUAUAAUAUAAAAAUAAUGUUGUUCCUCUAUUGCUCUCGGUUACGUUUAAAGAGGAUGAACAAGAAGAAGAAGAAGAAGAAGAAGAACGGAGGCCGGCCAUGUCUCUAAGGAACGUUGGCCCGUGUCCGUUCUCUCCGCAGGGGCCUUGAAAGGAAUGCGCGCGCGCGCGCCUCUUAAAAAGAAAUCGGUGAAUGCGCUUUUACACGCGUGCUUAUAAAUAAAUGCGUCCAGUGAACCGGACGUGCGAUCGUCGAAAAAAUAUUUGAUCCUCUCUUUUUUCGCAUCGAUACGCGUUCAAAAUCUUUUCCAAAGUACGUUUUACUUUUAUAUAAUUUUCUGUUAAUCGAUUUCAAAGUUAAAAAAAAAAAAAAAAAAGAAAAAAAAAUAGAACUACGAUCGUUGGACGUACGCGAUCAAAUUUAAUUAAUUUUUUUCUUUUUCCUUUUCCUUUUUUUUUUCUUUUUUUCUUUUUUUCUUCUUUUCUUUUAUUUUUGUUCUCGCAUUCUGGAAACACGUCCUCCCUUUUCCCCAUAAUAGGCCUUUCACUUUUCGAUAUAGUUUUAUUCUUUUUCUUUUUUUUUUUUUUUUUAUUCUCUUUUUUUAAAACUGUUUAAUAUUCUUAACGGGAAUUAUCAGACGUAACAAAAGUUUUA